GCGCUCCUAGCUCAAUUGGUAGAGCAGCGGUCUCCAAAGCCGCGAGUUCCAGGUUCGAGUCCUG
rnacentral:tRNA from 1 species